rnacentral:rRNA from 1 species
UACGUAGGGGGCAAGCGUUGUCCGGAAUCAUUGGGCGUAAAGCGCGCGUAGGCGGCCCGAUAAGUCCGCUGUGAAAGUCCAGGGCUCAACCCUGGAAAGCCGGUGGAUACUGUCGGGCUAGAGUCCGGAAGAGGCGAGUGGAAUUCCUGGUGUAGCGGUGGAAUGCGCAGAUAUCAGGAGGAACACCAAAGGCGAAGGCAGCUCGCUGGGACGGUACUGACGCUGG